ACAUGAACCCGAUCGAACAUCUCUGGAGAGACCUGAAAAUAGAUGUGCAGCAAUGCUCUCCAUCCAACCAGACAGAGCUUGAGAGGAUCUGCAGAGAAGAAUGGGAGAAACUCCCCAACUACAGCUGUUUCAAGCUUGUAGCGUCAUACCCAAGAAGACUUGAUGCUGUAAUGAAGGCCAAAGCUCGAGCUCAGUGAGGUUGGAUGGAGUGUCACGUUCUUUCAAAAUCGAACCCAGAAGCAGACCAGGACAAGGAGAGUAGGAAGAAGGACCUGAGCCCUAGGACCAUGCCUCAGGACUACCUGGCAUGAUAACUCCUUGCUGUCCCCAGUCCACCUGGCCGUGCUGCUGCUCCAGUUUCAAUUGCUCUGCCUGUGAUUAUUAUUAUUUGACCAUGCUGGUCAUUUAUGAACAUUUCAACAUCUUGGCCAUGUUCUGUUAUAAUCAGCCAGAAUCAGCCAGAAGAGGACUGGCCACCCCACAUAGCCUGGUUCCUCUCUAGGUUUCUUCCUAGGUUUUGGCCUUUCUAGGGAGUUUUUCCUAGC